UUCUCAAAUCCCUAUGCAGUCUGGAUCUUUGGCAUGCGGGAGGCAAAGUGAUGAGAUCCAUAUACCACCAUACAGGCUGAAAAUCAGUGGAAAUGCUACGCCAAUUGAAAGCCUCUGGCUGGAACACAGGAGAAAUACCGCCAUCUGCUGGCCACUUGGAGAACUGCUCGGGAGAAGCUGCCCACAGACAGACGGAGUCUCGCUCUGUCACCCUGGAGUGCAGUGGCGCGAUCUCGGCUCACUGCAAGCUCCGCCUCCUGGGUUCACGCCAUUCUCCUGCCUCAGACUACCGAGAAGCUGGGACUACAGGCGCCCGCCACCACGCCCGGCUAAUUUUUUGUAUUUUUAGUAGAGACGGGGUUUCACCGUGUUAGUCAGGACGGUCUCGAUCUCUUGACCUCGUGAUCCGCCCACCUCGGCCUCCCAAAGUGCUGGGAUUACAGGCGUGAGCCACCGCACCCGGCCCAAGUCCUUAUUUUAAACACACAUUUCAACACAGAGAAAGCCUCACACACAAUGGAAGGCUCUUAGCACCUAGGAAGAGGACUCUAGGAGACUUCUUCUGAGCCAAAUGCAUUAAUGUGUAAGACCAUACAGAAGCUGACCCAUGUUGACCACCUACCAUAUGCCAGGUAUUGUCACAUGUGUUUUCAUGGAUUAAGGCAUUUAAUCCUUACAACAACUCUCUGAAGAAGAUACAAUUACUAUCCUUAUUUUACAGGUGAGAAAACUGAGGCACAGACAGUCCCAGCAAAUUACACAAGGAUUUCUAGCUUGCCACUGGUGGAGCUGGGACUUGAACCCAGGCUGCCUGGCUCCAGAAUUCACAUUUCCAAUCCCUAUGUUUGAUCUAAAUACUUAAUUUAACAUGGAAAGACCAAACACAGUAAUACUCCUUAUGCACAAUUUUGCUUUCAUGGUUCCAGUUACCCAAAGUCAAUUGGGAGUCAGAAGAUAUUAAAUGGAGAACUCCAGAAAUAAACAAUUCAUCAACUUUAAAUUGCAUGCUCUCUGAGUGUGAUGAAAUCCUGCUCUGUCCUGCCUGGGAUGUGAAUCCUCCCUUUGUACAGUGUGUCUGCACUGUCCACACUCCCUGCCCAUUAGUCACUUGGCAGCGAGUUUGUUUAUUAGAUCGACUGCCAAGGGACUGCGUGCUUGUGUUCACGGAACCUGUAUUGUACUUA